GAUGAACGCUGGCGGCGUGCCUAAUACAUGCAAGUCGAGCGAACAGACGAGGAGCUUGCUCCUCUGACGUUAGCGGCGGACGGGUGAGUAACACGUGGAUAACCUACCUAUAUGACUGGGAUAACUUCGGGAAACCGGAGCUAAUACCGGAUAAUAUAUUGAACCGCAUGGUUCAAUAGUGAAAGUCGGUUUUGCUGUCACUUAUAGAUGGAUCCGCGCCGCAUUAGCUAGUUGGUAAGGUAACGGCUUACCAAGGCAACGAUGCGUAGCCGACCUGAGAGGGUGAUCGGCCACACUGGAACUGAGACACGGUCCAGACUCCUACGGGAGGCAGCAGUAGGGAAUCUUCCGCAAUGGGCGAAAGCCUGACGGAGCAACGCCGCGUGAGUGAUGAAGGUCUUCGGAUCGUAAAACUCUGUUAUUAGGGAAGAACAAAUGUGUAAGUAACUAUGCACGUCUUGACGGUACCUAAUCAGAAAGCCACGGCUAACUACGUG
rnacentral:rRNA from 1 species